ACAGAGGGUGCGAGCGUUGUCCGGAAUCACUGGGCGUAAAGGGCGUGUAGGCGGCUGGAUAAGCCGCGUGUGAAAUCCCGGGGCUCAACCCCGGAACGGCACGCGGGACUGUUCGGCUAGAGACUGGUAGAGGCAAGUGGAAUUCCUGGUGUAGCGGUGGAAUGCGUAGAGAUCAGGAAGAACACCGGUGGCGAAGGCGGCUUGCUGGGCCAGUUCUGACGCUGAGGCGCGAAAGCGUGGGGAGCAAACAGGA
rnacentral:rRNA from 1 species